UACGGAGGGUGCAAGCGUUGUUCGGAAUCACUGGGCGUAAAGCGCACGUAGGCGGAUUUGUAAGUCAGGGGUGAAAUCCCGGGGCUCAACCUCGGAACUGCCUUUGAUACUGCGAAUCUUGAGUCCGAUAGAGGUGGGUGGAAUCCCUAGUGUAGAGGUGAAAUUCGUAGAUAUUAGGAAGAACACCAGUGGCGAAGGCGGCCCACUGGAUCGGUACUGACGCUGAGGUGCGAAAGCGUGGGGAGCAAACAGG
rnacentral:rRNA from 1 species